rnacentral:rRNA from 1 species
CCUACGGGCGGCAGCAGUCGAGAAUCAUUCACAAUGGGGGAAACCCUGAUGGUGCGACGCCGCGUGGGGGAAUGAAGGUCUUCGGAUUGUAAACCCCUGUCAUGUGGGAGCAAAUUAAAAAGAUAGUACCACAAGAGGAAGAGACGGCUAACUCUGUGCCAGCAGCCGCGGUAAUACAGAGGUCCCAAGCGUUGUUCGGAAUCACUGGGCGUAAGGCGUGCGUAGGCUGUUUCGUAAGUCGUGUGUGAAAGGCGCGGGCUCAACCCGCGGACGGCACAUGAUACUGCGAGACUAGAGUAAUGGAGGGGGAACCGGAAUUCUCGGUGUAGCAGUGAAAUGCGUAGAUAUCGAGAGGAACACUCGUGGCGAAGGCGGGUUCCUGGACAUUAACUGACGCUGAGGCACGAAGGCCAGGGGAGCGAAAGGGAUUAGAUACCCCAGUAGUC